rnacentral:rRNA from 1 species
AUUGAACGCUGGCGGCAGGCCUAACACAUGCAAGUCGAGCGAGCGGCGGACGGGUGAGUAAUGUCUGGGAAACUGCCUGAUGGAGGGGGAUAACUACUGGAAACGGUAGCUAAUACCGCAUACAAUCAGAUGUGCCCCGAUGGGAUUAGCUAGUAGGUGGGGUAACGGCUCCCCUCGGCGACGAUCCCUAGCUGGUCUGAGAGGAUGACCAGCCAAACUGGAACUAGGACACGGUCCAGACUCCAACGGGGGGCAGCAGUGGGGAAUAUUGCACAAUGAGGGCAAGCCUGAUGCAGCCAGGCCGGGUGGGUGAAGAAGGCCUUCGGGUUGUAAAGCACUUUCAGCGGGGAGGCGUUACCCGCAGAAGAAGCACCGGCUAACUCCGUGCCAGCAGCCGCGGUAAUUC